GCCCCGCUUCUGCCUUUCAGAGCAUGGUCUAGAACGGGUGAGUCCUGGAAGUCUGCAUUGUGGACCCAGCUCAGGGGUAGCUCUGGCUUCACCUGGGCUUCAGAUGCAGGUGGGCAUGGCCCGGGCAUCACAGCAAAGAGCAAAUCGUCUGGGAGGGUGCUGAUUCUCACCCCUCAGAGCCUGAGAACCACAGAGACACCCCCCACCCCCUCCCACAUCCCACCCGUCAAGGGCAACGCCCAGACCUGGAGCUGUGCGCUCUCUGCCUUCUCUCCUCCUCUGGCCUCUCACCUCCUCUCCUCUUGGUCUUUUUCCUUCUCUCUGUCGCUCUGUCUCUGGCUCUCUCUGCCUCAGUCUUGUUCUCCGUCUCUCUGUGUCUCUCUAUCUCUCCAGGCAGCCCCAUUUCCUAUCUCUCUCUCUCUGAUCCUCCCACUCUUUCUCUAUAUCGAUCUGAUCCUCAUCCUCCCUCUUUCUUUCUCUCCUCCUCUCUCCCUCUUCCUCUCUGCUCCCUUGCCUCCCUUCCCUUUUCUCCCUCUACAUCUGCCUCCUUGUCGCUCUCUUCUUGUUUUCUCUCUGUGGCUGUCUCUCUCUUUGUCCGUCUCUCCCACUCUGGUCUCCUCUCGCUCCCUCUCGCCCUCUCCGGAGGAUGCUGCAGGAUCAUGCCAAGCCCAGAGGGAAGGUCAGGGCACCCUGCAGGGACCAGCACACCAUGAACCUGUCACUUCUGCCUCCAGCCUGGGAAAUAGCAGGGCUCAGGAAAGUCGAGGAAUUGCAGUCACUCUAGACAGAGCAUCUCAAUCAGGACUGACAACUGAAAGCAGAAGCCCCACAGUCAGAGGGCUGCAAACCUGCUCUGGGGCACUACGGACAACUGGCAUGGGUUUCUGGGCACCAGCUCUGCACUGCAGCCCUCUUCUGGCUUCAGGGCAAGGGGGCCAGAGGGAGAAUCUGGAUUCGUGUGGCCACAUUGGAGCUUCCCUUGCCUGCAGAAGAGAGGAGGAGGAACUCAGUGAGGCAAAAAACAAAAGUCUCAAACUCUACUCUCUGCAAGCUAUGAAUCAGCAUUUUUUAAUUGGCAAAUUUCCCAUGUUUUAA
rnacentral:lncRNA from 1 species